rnacentral:rRNA from 1 species
AGAGCGAACGCUGGCGGCAGGCCUAACACAUGCAAGUCGAGCGCCCCGCAAGGGGAGCGGCAGACGGGAGAGUAACACGUGGGAACGUACCCUUCAGUUCGGAACAACCCAGGGAAACUUGGGCUAAUACCGAAUACGUCCGUAAGGAGAAAGAUUUAUCGCUGAAGGAUCGGCCCGCGUCUGAUUAGCUAGUUGGUGAGGUAACGGCUCACCAAGGCUACGAUCAGUAGCUGGUCUGAGAGGAUGAUCAGCCUCACUGGGACUGAGACACGGCCCAGACUCCUACGGGAGGCAGCAGUGGGGAAUAUUGGACAAUGGGCGCAAGCCUGAUCCAGCCAUGCCGCGUGGAUGAUGAAGGCCUUAGGGUUGUAAAGUCCUUUCGACGGGGAAGAUAAUGACGGUACCCGUAGAAGGAAGCCCCGGCUAACUUCGUGCCAGCAGCCGC